CACAUGCAAGUCGAGGGGUAACGGAAGUAGCUUGCUACUAGACGACGACCGGCGCACGGGUGAGUAACGCGUAUGUAAUCUGCCUUGUACAGAGGGAUAGCCCAGAGAAAUUUGGAUUAAUACCUCAUAGUAUUACCGAAUCGCAUGAUUCGGUAAUUAAAGCUCCGGCGGUACAAGAUGAACAUGCGUGACAUUAGCUAGUUGGUAAGGUAAUGGCUUACCAAGGCCACGAUGUCUAGGGGUUCUGAGAGGAUGAUCCCCCACACUGGUACUGAGACACGGACCAGACUCCUACGGGAGGCAGCAGUGAGGAAUAUUGGUCAAUGGACGCAAGUCUGAACCAGCCAUCCCGCGUGAAGGAUGACUGCCCUAUGGGUUGUAAACUUCUUUUAUAUGCAAAUAAACCUACUUUCGUGAAAGUAGCUGAAGGUAGCAUAUGAAUAAACACCGGCUAACUCCGUGCCAGCAGCCGCGGUAAUACGGAGGGUGUAAGCGUUAUCCGGAUUUAUUGGGUUUAAAGGGUACGUAGGCGGUAAUAUAAGUCAGUGGUGAAAUCCUGCAGCUCAACUGUAGAACUGCCAUUGAAACUGUAUUACUUGAGUAUACUUGAGGUACGCGGAAUGA
rnacentral:rRNA from 1 species